rnacentral:lncRNA from 1 species
CGACACAGCGGAGGAGGACGAUGAUCUGUACGACUGCGUCGAGGCCGAAGGGGACGACGGGGACGAUGUAUACGAGGAUCUUAUGAGGGUCGAAGCCCCCCCAGCCAAUAGGCCGGGGCCGGACCGCCGUCAGCGCUGCCUGCAGGAGCUGAGGCAGACGGAGGAGAAAUACACCGAGAGCCUGGAGGCCAUUUGCACUCACUUCCUGCGCCCUCUUCGUCCGUUCCUGCAGCCCCAGGACAUGGAGAGUGUGUUCAUCAACAUCGAGGUGAGCAGCGCUUAUAAUGGGGGGGGGCACAUUUAAAUGGGGGUCCUUAACACC